AUUGAACGCUGGCGGCAGGCCUAACACAUGCAAGUCGAGCGAGCGGCGGACGGGUGAGUAAUGUAUGGGGAUCUGCCCGCUAGAGGGGGAUAACUACUGGAAACGGUGGCUAAUACCGCAUACUAUCGGAUGAACCCAGAUGGGAUUAGCUGGUGGGUGGGGUAACGGCUCACCAAGGCGACGAUCUCUAGCUGGUCUGAGAGGAUGACCAGCCACACUGGGACUGAGACACGGCCCAGACUCCUACGUGAGGCAGCAGUGGGGAAUAUUGCACAAUGGGCGCAAGCCUGAUGCAGCCAUGCCGCGUGUAUGAAGAAGGCCUUAGGGUUGUAAAGUACUUUCAGCGGGGAGGCGUUACCCGCAGAAGAAGCACCGGCUAACUCCGUGCCAGCCGCCGCGGUAAUAC
rnacentral:rRNA from 1 species